rnacentral:lncRNA from 1 species
UGGGACCGUCGAGGGCGGCGGCGAGGGAGCGGUGGAGGUGGAAGCUAGCGCGGGCGAGGCCACCGAGCGGGCUGCCAUCGCACCAGUCGAGGGCUAGGAAUCCACCGGCCUUUCCGGAGGCGGCGCAGGCGACGGCGGACUUCUCCACCACUGUGACGCGGGCGGUGCCCUUCGUCGCGAGGAAGUAGGCGGUGCACGCGCCGAUGACGCCGCCCCCGCAGACCACCACCCGCUUCCCCUCCGG